rnacentral:rRNA from 1 species
GACGAACGCUGGCGGCGUGCUUAACACAUGCAAGUCGAACGAAGUGGCGAACGGGUGAGUAACGCGUAAUCAACAUGCCCUUCUGAGGGGGACAACAGUUGGAAACGACUGCUAAUACCGCAUACUGAAGGAGGGGAUUGCGUCUGAGUAGCUAGUUGGAGGGGUAACGGCCACCCAAGGCGAUGAUCAGUCGCCGGUCUGAGAGUAUGAACGGCCACAUUGGGACUGAGACACGGCCCAUACUCCUACGGGAGGCAGAAGUGGGGAAUCUUCCGCAAUGGACGAAAGUCUGACGGAGCAACGCCGCGUGAUUGAUGACGGCCUUCGGGUUGUAAAGCUCUGUUAAUCGGGACGCGGUACCGGAAUAGAAAGCCACGGCUAACUACGUGCCAGCAGCCGCGGUAAUUC